rnacentral:rRNA from 1 species
AUUGAACGCUGGCGGCAGGCCUAACACAUGCAAGUCGAGCGGAUGAAGGGAGCUUGCUCCUGGAUUCAGCGGCGGACGGGUGAGUAAUGCAUAGGAGUCUGCCUGGUAGUGGGGGAUGACGUCCGGAAACGGGCGCUAAUAUCGCAUACGUUCUGAGGGAGAAAGAGGGGGAUCUUGGGACAACAAGCUAACAGCUGAGCCUAGGUCGGAUUCGCUAGUUGGUGGGGUAAAGGCCUACCAAGGCGACAAUCCGUACCGGGCCUGAGAGGAUGAUCAGUCACACUGGAACGGGAAAACGGUCCAGACUCCUACGGGAGCAGCCAUUGGGGAACAUUGGACAAGGGCGGAAAGCCUGACGCAGCCAGGCCGGGUGGGGGAAGAAGGUCUUCGGAUGGUAAAGCAUUUUAAUUUGGGAGGAAGUGCAGUAAGGUAAAACCUUGCUGUUUUGACGGUACCAACAGAAUAAGCACCGGCUAACUUCGUG